rnacentral:rRNA from 1 species
UACGUAGGGACCAAGCGUUGUUCGGAUUUACUGGGCGUAAAGGGCGCGUAGGCGGCAAUUCAAGUCAUCUGUGAAAUCUCCGGGCUUAACUCGGAACGGUCAGAUGAUACUGCUUUGCUAGAGUGCGGAAGGGGCAAUCGGAAUUCUCGGUGUAGCGGUGAAAUGCGUAGAUAUCGAGAGGAACACCUGAGGUGAAGACGGGUUGCUGGGCCGACACUGACGCUGAGGCGCGAAAGCUAGGGGAGCAAACAGGA